rnacentral:tRNA from 1 species
CGGGGCGUAGCGAAGCCUGGUAUCGCGCGCGGUUUGGGUCCGCGAAAUCGCAGGUUCGAAUCCUGCCGCCCCGA